rnacentral:rRNA from 1 species
ACGUACGCUGGCGGCACGCCUAACACAUGCAAGUCGAACGAAGUAGCAAUACUUAGUGGCAGACGGGUGAGUAACAUGUAGGUAUCUGCCCUUUGGCCUGGAAUAACACGAGGAAACUUGUGCUAAUACCGGAUAAGUCUUUACGGAGAAAGCUUUAUGCACCAUUGGAUGAGCCUGCACUUGAUUAGUUUGUUGGUGGGGUAAUGGCCUACCAAGACUGUGAUCAAUAGCUGAUUUGAGAGGAUGAUCAGCCACAUUGGGACUGAGACACGGCCCAAACUCCUACGGGAGGCAGCAGUGGGGAAUCUUGCACAAUGGAGGAAACUCUGAUGCAGCGAUGCCGCGUGAGUGAAGAAGGCCCUUGGGUUGUAAAGCUCUUUCGUCGGGGAAGAAAAUGACUGUACCCGAAUAAGAAGGUCCGGCUAACUUCGUGCCAGCAGCCGCGGUAAUACGAAGGGACCUAGCGUAGUUCGGAAUUACUGGGCUUAAAGAGUUCGUAGGUGGUUGAAAAAGUUAGUGGUGAAAUCCCAGAGCUUAACUCUGGAACUGCCAUUAAAACUUUUUAGCUAGAGUAUGAUAGAGGAAAGCAGAAUUUCUAGUGUAGAGGUGAAAUUCGUAGAUAUUAGAAAGAAUACCAAUUGCGAAGGCAGCUUUCUGGAUCAUUACUGACACUGAGGAACGAAAGCAUGGGUAGCGAAGAGGAUUAGAUACCCUCGUAGUCCAUGCCGUAAACGAUGUGUGUUAGACGUUGGAAAUUUAUUUUCAGUGUCGCAGGGAAACCGAUAAACACACCGCCUGGGGAGUACGACCGCAAGGUUAAAACUCAAAUGAAUUGACGGGGACCCGCACAAGUAGUGGAGCAUGUGGUUUAAUUCGAAGAUACGCGCAGAACCUUACCAACACUUGACAUGUUCGUCGCGACUCUAAGAGAUUAGAGUUUUCGGUUCGGCCGGACGAAACACAGGUGCUGCAUGGCUGUCGUCAGCUCGUGUCGUGAGAUGUUGGGUUAAGUCCCGCAACGAGCGCAACCCUCACUUUUAGUUGCCAUCAUUAAGUUGGGCACUCUGAAAGAACUGCCAGUGAUAAGCUGGAGGAAGGUGGGGAUGACGUCAAGUCCUCAUGGCCCUUACGUGUUGGGCUACACACGUGCUACAAUGGUAUCUACAACAGGAAGCAAGACUGCGAAGUUAAGCAAAUCCCUAAAAGAUACCUCAGUUCGGAUUGCACUCUGCAACUCGAGUGCAUGAAGCUGGAAUUACUAGUAAUCGUGGAUCAGCGUGCCACGGUGAAUGCGUUCCCGGGUCUUGUACACACUGCCC